AUUAAUAUUUAGUACUGAAUCUGUGUUGGCAAUUACAAUGAAAUUAAUAUCAAUCCAUGUUAUCCAAACAAUAUUGUUAAUGACACAGAUGAUAAAUUCAUACGUACUACAUGGAACUUCUGAUAUACCAAAUGCUAGUGAAAUGACAAGACAACAAAAUUUGCUUCCGAUUAAAGUAAAAAAAUCGGUAGUUGUAAAUAAGAAAAAUGACCUCUGGAACUUAGGGAUCAUUCAUUACGAAAUAGAUGAUAUUUUUACUGACUUCCAACGUAGAAUAAUAAAACAAGGUAUACGCAUGUGGGAAGAGUCCAGUUGGAUUCAAUUUAUCGAAAGAAAUCCGGAUGUCCAUCAAGAUUAUGUCGCCUUUACUAAAUUGGAUAUUUAAUAUUUCUGUUGCUCACUUGAUAAAAAAUAAGUGUAAUCAAAAAAAUUGUGUAAUUUGAUUUAAAAAUGCCAGGUGUUAUUACAUUGAAAACGACCAAAAAAACAAAGGCCGAAGUGAAUUGAGUUUAGCUGAUGGAUGUGAAGAAAUACAUAUUAUUCUUCAUGAACUGGGACACGUUUUGGGUUUUUACCAUGAACACCAACAUCCAGACCGCGACCAGUACAUUGAAAUCCUACAUAUGAACAUUCAGCCAGGUUAUCAAAGAGAAUUUGGGCGGUAUUCACGAGCGGAGGUUGAUACUUUAAGAUUUCCCUACGAUUAACAUUCUACGAUGCAUUAUUCAAAGAAUGUCUUUGCAUACUUCAAUUUUUUGAAUACGAUAGUUCUGAAACAAACUGUCAACGGCAAAGUACCAAAUAUUGGCAAUAAAAAAGUUCUCAGUGGCGGAGAUAUUGAAGCUGUUAAUAUUCUAUAUAAUUGUCCAAAUUCCAAUAACAAAUAACUUUAUUGGGGUCUAAUGUGCUUUUGUCGCUGCAAAUCCAUAUACAGAUCUAUACAAAUUUUCAAAGGAUAAAAACGGAAAGUUUAAUGGAAUUUAUAUGUCUCAAGAAUUUCUAUCUGGAUUUUAAUGGAAUUUGUAUGCCUAGAGAAUUUCUAUCUGGAUUUACCAAGAUGUACUAGAGCAAGUGGAUUCUAUUAGAAAAUCCAAUAACAUAGCGUAAUGAUAAAAAAUGUUUUCUGGUGGAGUGUCCAGUUUUAUGAUAACUUUAGUUUAAUAUGUUUUUAUCAGUAAAUUAACUCUAAGAGUAUCUUACGUCUACUUAUAUCAAUCGGACUAUCCCGAGUGAAUUUUUAUGCCAAGUCUAUAGUUAUACGACUGGAUAUACCUAGGUGAAGUUGUGGGCCUCUAUAUGAAAAACCAGUAUUAUAUUACAUUCACUUUUAUGUCUUUUCAUCUGUAAAAUACAAUUAAGACUGUCUUAUAACUAUGUGAUAUCAAAUGGAUUAUUCAGAUUGGACUUUUAUUUCAUGUCCAAUGUUAUGUAUCUGGAUAUAUUUGGAUGUAGCUGUAGGCCUUUAUAGGAAUAUUCGAUUUAAAAAUAAGAAUAUUUUAAAGUAUUUUUAUCUGUUUAAUGUUAUAUAUUUGGUUAUACCCAAGUGUAGCUGUGGGCCUUUACAGGAAUAUUCCAUACAGUAAUACAGAUAAUUCUAUUUAUUUUUAUCUGCAAAUAACUAUCAAAAGGACAUCAGAGCUACAUAAGAAAUUAUACCUAGGUGUAGUUGUGGACCUCUAUAUGAAAAACCAGUAUUAUAUUACAAUCACUUUUAUGUAUUUUCAUUUGUAAAAUACAAUUAAUAAUGUCUUAUAACUAAAUGGUAUCAAAUGGAUUAUUCAGAUUGGACUUUUAUUUCAAGUCCAAUGUUAUGUAUCUGGAUGUACUCAGAUGUAGCUAUAGGCCUGUAUAGGAAUAUCCGAUAUAAAAAUAAGAGUAUUUUAAUGUAUUUUUAUCUGUUUAAUGUUACAUAUUUGGAUACAUCCAGGUGUAGCUGUGGGCCUCUACAAGAACAUUCCAUACAGUAAUACAGAUAAUUCUAUAUAUUUUUAUCUGCAAAUAACUAUUGAAAGGACUUCAGAGCUAUAUAAGAAAUGGAUAAAUUCUUUUUCUUUUAAGGCUAAUUUCUCUUGAAGGACAGAUUGGAUAGAAUUAUCGCCACUUUCCGUUUUUUUUUCACGGUUAUUUUUUAUCAUAUCCACAUCACUUUCUUCAGUUCCAGAAACUAGUUUCGAAACUGGAGGAAAUUUGAAACUGAAGAAAAAUUUCUCAAAACGAUUGACAGCCAGCGCGCCAGAGUAAUUUAUUCAGAUAUAGAACAUUAGUCUUGAAAUAAAAAUCCAAUCUGGAUAGUCCACUUAGUAUCACAUAUUUGUUAAACACUCUUGAUUGUAAUUUGCAAAUAAAAAUAUAUAAAAGGAAUCUUGAUGUAAGACUGGAUAUUUGUAUAGAGGCACAUAUAAUAGCUAAGCUUGGGUAUAUCCAUUUACAUAACAUUAGACCUGACAUAAAAAUCCAAUUUGUAUAGUCCAUUAUAUUUCAUAGAGGUUUGAGCCCACAGAUACACCUAUGGAUAUCCUCAUGAAUUUCAUGUGACGGGAUAAAAAUUAAAUAUGGAUAAUCAUCAAUAUUACAUAAUUCUGAGGCACUCUUAAACGUAAUUUAUAAAUAAAAACAUCAAAAUUAUUUCUAUUUUAAAACUGGAUUCUCCGAUAAAAACUAACUUCUACUGUAGAAUUUCACUAUGGAUAUUCUGCUUGAUUCUAUUAAAUUUUAAAGUAUUUUCCAAUAGUUACUUACAAAUAAAAAUCUUUAAAAUAACUUUUAGUAUGGAGCUGGAAAAUCCAAUAAAAAUUUUGUUUUUUGAUGUGUUUUUGUCGCUGCAAUUCCUAAGGUAUUCCAGUGGAUACAUUAUUUGAUUACGUUCGUAACUGCUCAUAAAAUAACAUAGACCAAAAUGUCGUGUUAUUGGUGUUGGCAGAUAAAUUAUUUAUUUCCAGUUUAUAUGGAAUUACUUAAAAAUUCUGAUAUUUUCAGAGUGGCUAUUACAUGUAGAAUACAUAAUUUUUUCCGAUUGAGGAAUUGUCAUUAAAAAUCAUUAAAAAAAUUUUCUGUUUCGCAUUCGGAAAUCCACAUAGGUUUUUAUGUCCAUAUAGACUUACGAAAAGAACAGAUACAAACCUAAGUGUAAGGUGCAGAUGAGAUCCAUAAAAAUACAAAUAACAUUAUAAUCCGAUUAAUUCCAAUAAAGAAACUCCGCUAUGAUGGACUUACAUAUAGAUUCCAAUAGGUUCCAAAUCUCAAUCUAUCUGGAAAUUUUUUACUCCAGAUAGAUUACAUAUAAGCCAUUACAGAUUCUAUUGUUCUGUAUAGGACUGUAUUGGAUGUUUUCAACAGGGAACUUAAUUGUUAUAAAAAUUCAAAAAAUUGA